CAUAAAUGUUCUUCCUUUAGCUGUGAAACUCCGCUGCACUCGGUGAUCGACUCGUCAGGGCUCCCCCACAAACAAGCGGCUGCUGGAGGAGAGUGGGUGAGUUGUGUUUAGUCUCUUUGCUAAAGAAAUCAGGCAAAGCUAAAAAGAUGUUUGAUGGCUAGUAUUAUGGCUGGGACCUUAUAUGGACCUUUUUGGUUGAAGACGUAGACUGCUGUGUAUUGCUAUCAUCCCGUCUUUACUAAAGUUGGUAUAACUAGAGAAGCAAGCAGUCAGCAAGCUAUAUCUCUCGAGGGGGUGUCUAACUUGGUUUUAUGGUCUGUUUGAACAUAACUUAAAUUUACGUUGGAAUAUCCCUUUAAAUUAGCGUUGGUAGUGAGAGCAAACUUGCUCAGUACACCUACACACUAUACAAAAGCACAAUAAACAGUUGUAUUUAUAACAGCAAAAAAGUCCUAGCAAGUCUUAGAAACAAUAAAAACGUAACAGAGAGGCAUUGUCUAACAGAACAAUACUCCAACACAACAUGACCUCUGAAUGAGACGAUAAAUGAGCUCAUUUAUCUGUGGAGGAUUGUUCUAAUUACAGUGACUCAAACCUGAAAUAAAGAAAAGACACAGACAUGAGAAAAUCUGAUAUUAUUACUCAUAAGAUAUUAGGUUCAACUGCGUGGAUGUUCAAACAAGUCAAUCAUGACCUUUAGUUUAAGUACAAGGAAUAAUGUGAAAAAUGGAUUUAUUUGACAUGAGAUUCCCUUCAUCCGCACCUUGAGUUGUACAUCAGUAACGUUUGACUGCCACCUAACUAGAUGUCUCCAUGUCUGUCUAAAACAUGUCUUUCCCCUCCGUGUGCCUGAAAUGAUGCAUUGUGAUGUAGCUGAAUUAAAAUGCGAUGUGUUAUCUUCACGCUUAGUUGUGGUUUGAUGAUUGUCAGAGAAAAACCUUUGAUUCAGCCCUCUCUGUACUUUAGGUUUUAAUUUGACUAGUUCAUCAAAUGAAUUAGAUCCAGCUGAUGAAUCCAGAGACGGUAGUUAUCGUCUCAGCUGGCUCAAAAGGAGAAGAAGAAGAAGAGAGCCUGCAAAUAUGUAACACAUGUCCUAAAGAAUAGUUUGUUUUGGAAAUGCUCGUAUUGAGAUGCAUUUCUUAUGUAUGCAACCACAGACAUCCUUCUUUUUUUGUGCUACACAAAAUGACCAAAAUCUAAUUUUCCUCUCUAUACAGUACAUAUCAGUUUUGUUUGGUUUUAUUCCAUCAUUUAACUAUGUAAACAUACCACACACAAUCCACAAUGCAAAAUAAAACUGAUACCCCCUCCGAAAACCCCAGUUAUUGUUCCUUAUAAUCAAUAUUUACAAUCCGUUGUGUCAUCUGCAUUCAUUUAACAUUAGCUACUUGCCAUCUUUCUUCCAUAAAAUGCUGCCAGCCCGCUACAAAACACUGCCCAUGUAUCAUCACCUUCGCACUCAGCCUCACACCACUUCUGGCCGGGCUCCCGUCUUUGUUGUGUGCGGUUGUCUGGAUGAGGCAGAGGAGAAGAAAGACCGGCAGUCAGACCACUGCAUAUGUUUUUAAUUCUCCUCCAUGCAGACCUUUCUUUCUCCUCUUUUGGCCUCCUCGUGCCCUCACAUCCUUUUUCUCCUCUCCUCUCCUCGCCUGUGUGUUCUUUCUGUCUCCGUGUCCACCAAAUUGCCCAUUAGGCUUUCUAUUUGUCUAUCUGCUGGACGGCCCGUCUGUGGCGUGGCAGCUUGCUAAAAGUAUCCUCCGGUCUGUGCCAAUUACACCAUGGGAGACCACUUCUAACAUUUUAUACUGCAUGGCUGCCAAAAGACGACGAGGUCUUCCUCUUUCACACACUAAACUUAGCAGAAACUCUUUAUGGGGAUCAUGCAACACAUGCAUAUAUGCUCGGCUGCAUUUUUGUUGCAUCCACAAAUUCACCCCCAAUGACAGAAACACCCUGUCUGCUGAAAAGAUGCGACAUUUUUUGUGUUAUAUUUUAAGAAUAUAUGUACGUGGUUUACAACUGGGGACAAUAAAGCACUUCCUCUGCCCUCUUUUUUUGGUUUGAGCGAACAAAAAACUGCAAAAACAAAUCUCACCAAGUACCACAUCUGCUUUUAUCCUCACAGAGUCUUUCGUACACACGUAUAUGCUCUUAAUGUCCCCCCCGCACAUUUCUUUUAAGAAAUCUUUCAAAAAAAAAAAAAAAAAAGUCACCCCCUUUCCAAGAAAAACUGACUGAUCAGCCUCACACAUUUCCAGUCCAACACGGCGACCAAAAGAAGCCGAGCGAUGUGGCUGAAAGCUUAGCUAAACAUUGUUGUUGCAUUCUGUAAUAAAGAGAGGAAACCUACAAAACCAAAGGCCCUCUGAGAGAAAGUUAUUAAUAUCCUGUCAGCAGUAAAUUAACUCUAUGUGUACAUGUCCCUGCCCCCCUUUUCUCUUUGUUUGGUCUACCAGCGGUCCCUCCAUCACCACCGCUGACUGACUUUGUGUCCCCCUGUAUGGCGGUGAGACUGAGACAGCACGGUCAUAAAACUGCUGACAGGACUGGAGAACAAACGGAGCCCAUUUAUAGGGCAGGUCCUCAUGUGUUUGACUUGAGGAAGGAUGAUCUAUAGUCAGCACCGCAAAGUAUUUGUAUGUACUGUAUCUAUAUAGGAAGUUUUUAUACUGAGGUGUGCUCAGAAACCGUGAGAAAUGGUCAAAGGAUGAAGAGGCGGCGACGUAAAAACAAACACGAAUGACAGAAACUGUGUUCAUCCCUGCCUAAGAAAAUAAUUUCAGAGCAAGACAAAUGAACAAAAGGUGCAAAUCUGUGUCCGUCCCGACUGUGUGAACUGAUGCCACACAUGGUGAAAGGAUCAUCUCUCGCAGUCUCACCGAUGACAGGGGCGUUUGCCUGACUGCAGUGACUGUACAGAGUAAUUAGAGGCAGGCUCCAGUAGGUCACAGUUUAGUCUGUAGCGGCCGAGAAAGAGACAGAGUGGGAGUGAGGGCACCGAGGAGAAAAAGGUAAAAAGGUGAACAAGAACUGAAACUGGAGGGAGGUUUAGUCACUGUGGUGAUGGUUUAGUAGUGGAAAAAGGAAUCAGAUCAUAAACAUAAAGACCUUAUGAUUGAUAUUUGUCUGUGAAACAAUCGAUUGAAUCGGUUUCAGACAGUAGGAUACCAUCAGAGAGUUACCAGUUCUCUAUUCACUGUACAGUUUAGCCCACAUUGAGGCGUUUGAGGCACAGGUUUUUCAUGCCACGGCCUUCAAACUGGUGACCGUUUUCAGCAAACAAAAGAAAAUCUCAGAUAAAUUAUAUAAAUACACCCUAAAGACUCAAAAACAGAUUCAUAUAUUAUUAUUUUUGCUUCUUAAUUAGUGAUUUAAAAUAAAAAAAAAGAAAAACUUGUGCUAUUUAUUAUCAGCUACACUCCACCAGUCACCAGAGGAAGCAUAGGUAAAGCUACAUGAUACCCCAAAAGAGGCAAAAGUUUAAGAAUAAAUCCUGCAUUCGUACUAAAUAUUAGGUGAACUUUGUCUCUUCUUUCAAUCAGCCACAAGAUUCACACCACACUCCUCUUUCUCACUUCCAGGACAGUUUGGAGAAGCAACUCUUAUCACCAAGCAGCAGCAGAGAAAGUGGUUGCGCUGGAGGAAAACCCAAAAUACCAUCAGGUCAGGGACAUGAACAUGACACAAGCAGAAGUUUGGGUAAACUUGGACAUGUCAAACUGUUUGAUGGACAGAAAUAAAUCUCUAAAUAAAUGCUUUACCUCUGGGGAAUGUGUGAAUAGGAUGUUAAAUAUUGAAGUUCCUCUUUUUAAGUCAAUUUAUGUUUGUGUUUGUUUUUUUCUGCCCCCUGCUGGUCAUGAAAUCGACAUUGCAGCUUUAAGCAAACACCUUUCACUUAAAACUGGGUCUGAUUUCAAUUCUAUCAUAUUAUUUAUUGGAGAAAUGUCUUAAUAAGCUGAUCAAUACUCAUCAUCUCUUGUCAAGUGAUCAUUUUAAUCUCCAAGAAGAGUUAAAUUUGUUUCAGGGGAAGCCAAUUUGGACUCCUUUUACUCAGUUCACUGUCUGCAUCGUAAUGUUCUUGUCAUCAAAUGCAAACUUUUGCUGUCAAAAGUUAGAGCAAA